UCACUUUCAACGGAACAUCAGUACGAGCGAGAAGAUCCUGCUGAUAUAUUAUUGUUGAAAUCUAGUCCAACUUCACAGUGAGAGCUGUAUUAAAGUCAGUUUUAUCGUGGGCAUCUACUGUCCUCGCUAUGGCAAAGCAACCCGCGCGACAGAGGAGCCAGCUGCCGAACUGUUACUAUGAGGGAUACCUGGAGAAGAGGUCGUUCAAAGAUAAGACAUCCCGGAAACUGUGGACCUGCUUGUGUGGCAACAUGCUUUUCUUUUUCAAUGAGAAGAGAGACACUAAUUACAUAGAGAAACUGGAUCUCAGCGGAUUGAUCUCAGUAACGGACGACAGCAGCCAGGAUCGUAAAUUACACGCAGCCAGACUCAUUCUCAAGAUGAAAGAUGGAAAUGUCAAAUUCACUAUUCCUAAUACAGAAGCUCGUGAGCUAUGGAAGGGCUAUAUCCUCUCUGUGACUGAGCUGUCGGUACCCUCCUCUCUCAACCUGCUCCCAGGUCAGAUCCACAUGCUCAAAGAGGCAGUAGAAAAGGAGAAGGAAAGACUAAAAAAUGUCCCUCCACCUGCUGACACCUCCAGUCACUACAUCAGCCUCCAAGCAGACAUGCCAGCUUGUUACCACGUCGUGUCCCGUCUGGAGGCAGAGCUGCUGCUUGAGAAAGAGGCCAAGAGAGGAAACCUGCUCCUGAGGCCUCGAAAUGACGGGACCUUUGCUGUCACCACCAGACAAGACCAUGAGGGCUCUAUAUUCAAACACUACCGUGUGAAUCGUAAACAUGAAGGGGGCUUCGUCAUUGAUGUGGACAAUCCUGUCCCCUGCACCACUCUGCAUGAUGUGAUCAACUAUUUAGUCGAGAAAACUGACGGGGUUCUGAUUCCUCUCAUCAUCGAGGAGCCGUAUGAAAAAAACAUCUCUUUCAUUUGGUCUGAUAAUGAAAAUGGAGAGAGAAGUGUUCAGCAUGCUCCGUCAAACCUUGUCCUACCAAGUGUGCCUCCCAAACCAGUUGCUCCAAGAAUACCGACUCCUGAACCAGUACCAGCACUAGUUAUAGAAGAGGAUUCGUGUCUAUAUGAAAUGAUGGAGAAAGACAUAGAGUCCGAGGAUUCCUCAGCCACGUCAGAGCUAGAUAAGAAAACUCCAAAGAAAGCAAUCCUGCCUCCGACUCCUGCUCCUCGCAAAUUGACCCUCAGUACAUCACCCUCGUCCUCUUCCUCCUCCACAAAGUCUGAGCUGAGACUGAGAACCCACUCAGACCCUCUAGCACAGACAAUAACAGAGCUGAAACUAAAGUUGGAACAAAAGGCAAAGUGUGAACAGUGACCUCUCCUAGUGGGAGUCUGUUAAAGCCAUCACCAUCUGUGAAACAGUGCCUCAGCAGCUGACUCGCACCAGUGCAGAGCCAACCUCCCAGUCUGUCCCUGCAAGACGAACCAACGCACGGGAACAGAGAUAAGCUGUUUCUACAUGAACAACCUCUUCCUCCUCUGAGUCGAUGCUCUGCUCCUCCUCUUCACUGGCUGCUGGUCAGCAGUAAAGCCACUCUGAAGAUUAACGCUUUAUUGAUUGAACCUUCCCUUACACUCAUUAGCGCAUUAAUCGACUGUAAAGAGGGAUGUACGUGUCACUUUAUCUUCACUGUGUCUCUUGUACAUUUUGCACAUUUACCGUUGACAGUGGUGUGCAUUUUCUUAAUCAAUUUUCUAUAUCAGUGUUGUUUUUGUCCAAUUUGUCAUUUUCAAUUGUAUAAUUUUAUAUAUUUUUUAAAUGUAUCUAGUGACUAUGCUCUGCCUUUACAGGCAUGUGAUAUAUGUAUAUAUGUGUGUGUGUGUGUGUAUAUAUAUAUAUAUAUAUAUAUAUAUAUAUAUAUAUAUAUAUACACAUGUAUAUUACAGGGACGGCUGGUAUAAAUGGGCUAACAGGGCCCCCCCUUAUCUUUUGCAAAAAGAUGAGAAAUUGUAAAAAAACAAAAAACAAAACAACAACAACAAAGAAAACAUAAGAACAGAUUGUUUUCUUAUUUUGGUGGACACUAGAGCAGGAAAAGCAUCAAUGUCAUAAGAAAAACAAGGGAUAUAGUUGAACGGGCUUAUUUUUACAGCCCAAACACAUUAACAUCAACUACAAUUUAUCUUCGUAGUGUCAACUGUCGUGGCACGGCCCCUUUGAUUUACUGAUGAUUUGGGCUAAAUUCAUUGAGACCACAGGCCACAGGCUUUUGACCAAUGACGGCACAGCGAGCGGCUUCUGUAGCACCUGCUGUAGAGUGGCGAGGGAGAGGCGCGAGAGAGGCGCGUGACCGUGGGAAUGGCGGGUGUUAGCAUGAACGAAGUGGAUUGUUUACUUUCUCAUCCAUUUUCUUCAAUGUCUUCGGAGGAAACAUUGGAAUUGAAGAGACUGGGGGCACAUCGUCCAAACGAUCUUCAAAUAACACAAAAAGACAAACCACAAAAUCAUCCAGAUAAAAAUCCAGAUCUGGUGGAAGAAAGUAUUUGGCCUUGGCGGAGGUAUGUGCUCUACUGAGUGCCAUUGUAGUUACUGAUGAACUGAUGUGCAAACAGCAUUUUACUGUUACAAGUGGUCGAGGUGGAGCUGAUUUAAACUACCUCGUAUGAAUUGUUUGGGGUACUGUUACAGAUUGAGCUGCCAGUCUUAUAAGAUGAUUCUGCAACGUACCAUUAUUUUGAUUAAAAAAAAGGGGAAAACUGUGUAUCUUGAAUUAAGUUUAAGGUGCAUUGCUGAAACUUACUUUAAGGGGAAAAGAAAAGAACUUAAACAAAUUGAUUUGCAUUAAAAACAGGCUUAAUGUUACUUUUAAUGCUUUUUUCACUAUAGGAAAACUUGGUCUCAAAUAUGGAAUAAGAUUACUUGAGACAGAGGGGGUUUAUGCAAAGAAAAUAUGUUUUUUCUCUUUGUAGGUUUCUCUUUAAUUAGUAAAGUAUCUACAAACUACAGCUGUUAAAUAAAUGUAGUGGAUCAAAAGACACGAUAAUUCCCACUGAAAUGUGCAGUAUAAAGUAGCAUGAAAUGGAGAAAUGGAAAAAAUGCAGUAUUGGUGUAAAUCCACAGUUACAUUACAAUGUCUGCAAAAUCUCUCAUUUCUAUCUGUCUUUGCAUUAAAAGUA